UCUUAUGGAUGAGCAAAGAAAGUAGUUUCUUAAAAUGGAGUCAACUGCUGGUGAAGAUACUGUGAA
rnacentral:pre_miRNA from 4 species